AAGUUGCAGGGUAUAGACCCGAAACCCGGUGAUCUAGCCAUGGGCAGGUUGAAGGUUGGUUAACACUAACUGGAGGACCGAACCGACUAAUGUUGAAAAAUUAGCGGAUGACCUGUGGCUGGGGGUGAAAGGCCAAUCAAACCGGGAGAUAGCUGGUUCUCCCCGAAAGCUAUUUAGGUAGCGCCUCAUGAGUAACUGUUGGGGGUAGAGCACUGUUUCGGCUAGGGGGCCAUCCCGGCUUACCAACCCGAUGCAAACUCCGAAUACUGACAAGUUUAAUCAUGGGAGACACACGGCGGGUGCUAACGUUCGUCGUGAAGAGGGAAACAACCCAGACCGCCAGCUAAGGUCCCAAAGUCAUAGUUAAGUGGGAAACGAAGUGGGAAGGCUUAGACAGCUAGGAUGUUGGCUUAGAAGCAGCCAUCAUUUAAAGAAAGCGUAAUAGCUCACUAGUCGAGUCGGCCUGCGCGGAAGAUGUAACGGGGCUAAAACUAUGCACCGAAGCUGCGGCAGCGUACGAAGUGUGUUGGGUAGGGGAGCGUUCUGUAAGCCGUAGAAGGUGUAUUGUGAGGUAUGCUGGAGGUAUCAGAAGUGCGAAUGCUGACAUAAGUAACGAUAAAGCGGGUGAAAAGCCCGCUCGCCGGAAGACCAAGGGUUCCUGUCCAACGUUAAUCGGGGCAGGGUGAGUCGACCCCUAAGGAGAGGCCGAAGGGCGUAUCUGAUGGGAAACGGGUUAAUAUUCCCGUACUGGCUAUAACUGCGAUGGGGGGACGAAGAAGGCUAGGUUUACCACCUAUUGGAUGGUGGGUUAAGCGUGUAGGGGUGUGAUUAGGCAAAUCCGGUCACUAAGACCCUGAGGCGUGAUGACGAGGCACUAAGGUGCUGAAGUAAUUGAUGCCCUGCUUCCAGGAAAAUCCUCUAAGCUUCAGGUUAUAGUUAAUCGUACCCGAAACCGACACAGGUGGUCAGGUAGAGAAUACUAAGGCGCUUGAGAGAACUCGGGUGAAGGAACUAGGCAAAAUGGUGCCGUAACUUCGGGAGAAGGCACGCUGAUGGUAAUUGAAGUCCCAUGCGGAUGGAGGUGAAAUCAGUCGAAGAUACCAGCUGGCUGCAACUGUUUAAUAAAAACACAGCACUGUGCAAACACGAAAGUGGACGUAUACGGUGUGACGCCUGCCCGGUGCUGGAAGGUUAAUUGAUGGGGUUAUGCGCAAGCAGAAGCUCUUGAUCGAAGCCCCAGUAAACGGCGGCCGUAACUAUAACGGUCCUAAGGUAGCGAAAUUCCUUGUCGGGUAAGUUCCGACCUGCACGAAUGGCGUAAUGAUGGCCAGGCUGUCUCCACCCGAGACUCAGUGAAAUUGAAAUUGCCGUGAAGAUGCGGUGUACCCGUGGCAAGACGGAAAGACCCCGUGAACCUUUACUAUAGCUUGACAGUGAACAUUGAGCCUUAAUGUGUAGGAUAGGUGGGAGACUAAGAAGUGUGUACGCCAGUAUGCAUGGAGUCGCCCUUGAAAUACCACCCUUUAAUGUUUGAUGUUCUAACCUAUACUUCUGAAUCGAGGUAAGGGACACUGUCUGGUGGGUAGUUUGACUGGGGCGGUCUCCUCCCAAAGAGUAACGGAGGAGCACGAAGGUUAGCUAAUCCUGGUCGGACAUCAGGAGGUUAGUGCAAUGGCAAAAGCUAGCUUGACUGCGAGAGUGACGGCUCGAGCAGGUACGAAAGUAGGUCAUAGUGAUCCGGUGGUUCUGAAUGGAAGGGCCAUCGCUCAACGGAUAAAAGGUACUCCGGGGAUAACAGGCUGAUACCGCCCAAGAGUUCAUAUCGACGGCGGUGUUUGGCACCUCGAUGUCGGCUCAUCACAUCCUGGGGCUGAAGUAGGUCCCAAGGGUACGGCUGUUCGCCGUUUAAAGUGGUACGCGAGCUGGGUUUAGAACGUCGUGAGACAGUUCGGUCCCUAUCUGCCAUGGGCGUAGGAAAAUUGAGAGGGUUUGCUUCUAGUACGAGAGGACCGAAGUGAACGCACCGCUGGUGUUCGGGUUGUGAUGCCAAUUGCAUUGCCCGGUAGCUACGUGCGGAAUAGAUAAGUGCUGAAAGCAUCUAAGUACGAAACUAGCCUCGAGAUGAGUUUUCCCUGAUGAGAAUCAGUAAGGUCCGUUUGAGACUAAGACGUAGAUAGGUCAGGUGUGUAAGUGUAGUGAUACAUUGAGCUAACUGAUACUAAUGAACCGAGAGUCUUAACCUUACAACUC
rnacentral:rRNA from 1 species